rnacentral:tRNA from 1 species
GGGGGAGUAUUUCAGUGGUAGAAUGCGGGUCUCCAAAACCUGAGACGAGGGUUCAAUUCCUUCCUCCCCUGCCA